CAGAGUGAACACCGAUGCAUUACGUACGGCCAGCACACUGAGGGAUGGAAGAGCGGGAAAAGCUUAUCUUGGAGAGAAUGAAGAGCUGUAUCGAGUGAGCAGACAACGAGGCAGAUCACCUAAUACAAUACACUGGCAAUACAGGGUUGUGAUUAAUUUGCCCCUUGAAUGACGCCUGGUAUUCCAGCUCACAAUGCAUUAAGUUGACGUGUUGCAGAGCUACUACACAGGCCCCGCUAUUGCUUGGUUAUUGCGAGAGAAGGAAGGGAGGAAGGAAACAAGGAAGAACUGAAAAUCGAAU